UUAGAUUCCUGUACCACGCAUUAUCAGAACUGUAGGGACGCAUGUGGAAAGCACGGGCCGGGAAUGGAAAGACCGGUACAAGCGGGGUAGGUGUACAACAGGCAAAUCCGUUGUAUAAUCCGAAGACGUGAUGUGGAGCGAAAUAAAGUAGCAAAGCGUGUGAGCCAUGUGCCGAGAAAAGCUGCUAUUGUGUAAUGCGUGCCCGUAC
rnacentral:rRNA from 1 species